UACGUAGGCAGCAAGCGUUGUUCGGAGUUACUGGGCGUAAAGAGUGUGUAGGUGGUUCUCUAAGUUUGGUGUGAAAUCUCCCGGCUCAACUGGGAGGGUGCGCCGAAAACUGGAGGGCUUGAGUAUGGGAGAGGAAAGCGGAAUUCCUGGUGUAGCGGUGAAAUGCGUAGAUAUCAGGAGGAACACCCGCGGUGUAGACGGCUUUCUGGACCAUCACUGACACUGAUGCACGAAAGCGUGGGGAGCAAACAGG
rnacentral:rRNA from 1 species